rnacentral:rRNA from 1 species
AGUGAACGCUGGCGGUAGGCCUAACACAUGCAAGUCGAACGGCAGCACAGUAAGAGCUUGCUCUUACGGGUGGCGAGUGGCGGACGGGUGAGGAAUACAUCGGAAUCUACUUUUUCGUGGGGGAUAACGUAGGGAAACUUACGCUAAUACCGCAUACGACCUACGGGUGAAAGCAGGGGAUCUUCGGACCUUGCGCGAGUGAAUGAGCCGAUGUCGGAUUAGCUAGUUGGCGGGGUGAAGGCCCACCAAGGCGACGAUCCGUAGCUGGUCUGAGAGGAUGAUCAGCCACACUGGAACUGAGACACGGUCCGGACUCCUACGGGAGGCAGCAGUGGGGAAUAUUGGACAAUGGGCGCAAGCCUGAUCCAGCCCUACCGCGUGGGUGGAGAAGGCCUUCGGGUUGUAGAGCCCUUUUGUUGUGAAAGAAAAGCAGCAGGUUAAUACCCCGCUGUUCUGACGGUACCCAAAGAAUAAGCACCGGCUAACUUCGUG